UAAGGGGACUCCGAGUGCGAGGGCAUACAGUCCUCGCUUUUCUGCACCGUAAGGUAGUGCAGGAACAAGUGCUGGUCAAGACCGGUUACAGGCGCCGCCGUAAUAGCGGCAGAAUGAGUGAUGGCCGAUAUUAUUGGGCCUAAAGCAUCCGUAGCCCUCCGGACAAGUACGUUGGGAAAUUAGCACGCUCAUCGUGUUGACAUCCAGCAGAAACUAUCCGGCUUGGGCCGGAAGAGCCGAGGGGUACGUCCGGGGUAGGAGUGAAAUCCCGUAAUUCUGGUCGGGACCCCGGUGGCGAAAGCGCCUCGGGAGGACGGACCCGACGGUGAGGGACGAAAGCUAGGGUCUCGAACCGGAUUAUAUACCCUGGUAGUCCUAGCCGUCAACGAUCCUCGCUAGGUCUGGCGCAGGCUACGAGCCUGCGCUGUGCCGUAGGGAAGCCGAGAAGCGGGCCGCCUGGGAAGAACGGCCGCAAGGCUGAAACUUAAAGGAAUUGCGGG
rnacentral:rRNA from 1 species